GAAAGUAAUAUUUAAAGCCUACUUAACCAAUCACUUUCUCUCUUCAUUCUUUGCAUGAGCAGAACUGGAGAACAGAAGUAGAAAACCGAAACAUCUCAAGCCUGUUCCACAGAUGGAUGAAAGUUUACCAGUUCUUGUUUGCGGCAAGCUGGAGCCUAACCUGGUGAAGCAGGGUGCAAGACUGGAGGGGGCACACCCAGGACAGGACGCCAGGCCGUUGCAGGGCAUCCCAAGCAGGACUCGAACCCCAGACCCACCGGAGAGCAGGAUCCGGCCAAACCCUCUACACCACCGCACCCCCUUCUCUCCAGUAGGCAGCUUUAAAUUUUGGUUUUUCAUUUUAGGUGUCAUGUCGUACUCAGGGAUCCAUUCGACAGACUCAGUUGCAGGUGCGUCUUUAUUCAUUGGGGCAGGCAAGCGCAUAGUCAGGGACAGGCACAGGUCAGUCGAUCUACAAAUGUUGUUCAGUGGGACAGGCAGAGGCAAAAACCAGGAUGACAGAAGCACGGGAUCAAGUAGCCGAACAGGAGAAACACAAGGGUGCAGGACGAUCACGAAUCGCUGCUUUCUCUGACGAGGUUCCGCACUCAGGACCGUCCGGGUUGCCUCUUUAUCCCUUCCCUCAUGGUCAACUGCAGGUGCGGUCAGUUGAGCAGGUGGUUGGGGGCGUGACAUUAAGUUUCACCUGUUGCCUUGGUGAUGCAACACUCAAGUGGGAGAGAAUAUUCAUAUAAGUUUGGUCUGCAUAAACAGUUGACUUCAUUGCUCCUACAAACUGAAUUUAGAUAAGGUCUGUGUAUGCAAACAUAUACAUUUGUAGCCGAGUUACCCUAUCUCAGAUCCCGAUAACAUUUUUCAAAGCUUGAUAUCAGAGUGGUGCAGAGUACAGUAAAUUGAUUUGUAAUAGUGUGGGUGCAUGCCAAACCAAUCUUUUUGUCCUUGGCGGCUAGUUUAUGCAGCACUAAGUACUCUUUGCUGCUGUCCCCCCUGCAAAAUUUGGGUAAUUAAUUUGGGUGUACCCACUCCCAGUACCACACAUGCUAUAUUACUAUGACUAAGCACAGCAUUAACAAAACGCCCUGACAGUUUUACUGUCUUUAAUAAUAAUUUAAAUAAGUACACAGCGUGGGUGUGACAGUUACCUUUGGGGAAGGUGAAACUUUUUGUUAAAUGAUAAAAUCAUGAACUUGGACCAAUUACUUUCUGUGAUAUAAUUUUACUUAAAUGUAGAACAGGGCAACAAUCUAAAUAUCGCUCCUUCCUCAGAGGGCGGAUCAAUUUAUUCAGAGUUGCAUGGUUACAGAAGUUAGUUUUGAAAAACCGUG
rnacentral:lncRNA from 1 species